UACGUAGGGGGCAAGCGUUGUCCGGAAUUAUUGGGCGUAAAGCGCGCGCAGGCGGUCAUGUAAAGUCUGGUGUUUAAUCCCGGGGCUCAACCCCGGAUCGCACUGGAAACUGUGUGACUUGAGUGCAGAAGAGGAGAGUGGAAUUCCACGUGUAGCGGUGAAAUGCGUAGAGAUGUGGAGGAACACCAGUGGCGAAGGCGACUCUCUGGGCUGUAACUGACGCUGAGGCGCGAAAGCGUGGGGAGCAAACAGG
rnacentral:rRNA from 1 species